CCUACGGGAGGCAGCAGUGAGGAAUAUUGGUCAAUGGCCGGAAGGCUGAACCAGCCAAGUCGCGUGAGGGACGAAUGCCCUAUGGGUUGUAAACCUCUUUUAUAAAGGGAGAAAAAAUGCUUCGUGUAGCAUGCUGCCUGUACUUUAUGAAUAAGCAUCGGCUAACUACGUGCCAGCAGCCGCGGUAAUACGGAGGAUGCGAGCGUUAUCCGGAUUUAUUGGGUUUAAAGGGUGCGUAGGCGGUUUGUUAAGUUAGUGGUUAAAGGUCGGGGCUUAACCUUGACUUGCCAUUAAUACUGUCAGACUCGAGUUCAGACGAGGUAGGCGGAAUGAGUUGAGUAGCGGUGAAAUGCUUAGAUAUAACGCAGAACUCCGAUAGCGAAGGCAGCUUACCAGACUGCAACUGACGCUGAGGCACGAGAGCGUGGGUAGCGAACAGGAUUAGAUACCCCAGUAGUC
rnacentral:rRNA from 1 species